rnacentral:rRNA from 1 species
AACGAACGCUGGCGGCAGGCUUAACACAUGCAAGUCGAACGCCCGUAGCAAUACGGGAGUGGCAGACGGGUGAGUAACGCGUGGGAACAUACCCUCCGGUUCGGAAUAACUCAGGGAAACUUGAGCUAAUACCGGAUACGGCUUAGCGGCGAAAGAUUCAUCGCCGGAGGAUUGGCCCGCGUCCGAUUAGCUAGUUGGCGGGGUAACGGCCCACCAAGGCGACGAUCGGUAGCUGGUCUGAGAGGAUGAUCAGCCACAUUGGGACUGAGA